rnacentral:rRNA from 1 species
AACCCCCCAACAANAGAANCUUGACGUGCUUGCCUGAAUGAGAUUUUAACACGAAGUGAGUGGCGGACGGGUGAGUAACACGUGGGUAACCUGCCCAGAAGCAGGGGAUAACACCUGGAAACAGAUGCUAAUACCGUAUAACAGAGAAAACCGCCUGGUUUUCUUUUAAAAGAUGGCUCUGCUAUCACUUCUGGAUGGACCCGCGGCGCAUUAGCUAGUUGGUGAGGUAACGGCUCACCAAGGCGAUGAUGCGUAGCCGACCUGAGAGGGUAAUCGGCCACAUUGGGACUGAGACACGGCCCAGACUCCUACGGGAGGCAGCAGUAGGGAAUCUUCCACAAUGGACGCAAGUCUGAUGGAGCAACGCCGCGUGAGUGAAGAAGGGUUUCGGCUCGUAAAGCUCUGUUGUUAAAGAAGAACGUGGGUGAGAGUAACUGUUCACCCAGUGACGGUAUUUAACCAGAAAGCCACGGCUAACUACGUGCCAGCAGCCGCGGUAAUACGUAGGUGGCAAGCGUUAUCCGGAUUUAUUGGGCGUAAAGCGAGCGCAGGCGGUCUUUUAAGUCUAAUGUGAAAGCCUUCGGCUCAACCGAAGAAGUGCAUUGGAAACUGGGAGACUUGAGUGCAGAAGAGGACAGUGGAACUCCAUGUGUAGCGGUGAAAUGCGUAGAUAUAUGGAAGAACACCAGUGGCGAAGGCGGCUGUCUGGUCUGUAACUGACGCUGAGGCUCGAAAGCAUGGGUAGCGAACAGGAUUAGAUACCCUGGUAGUCCAUGCCGUAAACGAUGAUUACUAAGUGUUGGAGGGUUUCCGCCCUUCAGUGCUGCAGCUAACGCAUUAAGUAAUCCGCCUGGGGAGUACGACCGCAAGGUUGAAACUCAAAAGAAUUGACGGGGGCCCGCACAAGCGGUGGAGCAUGUGGUUUAAUUCGAAGCUACGCGAAGAACCUUACCAGGUCUUGACAUCUUCUGCCAACCUAAGAGAUUAGGCGUUCCCUUCGGGGACAGAAUGACAGGUGGUGCAUGGUUGUCGUCAGCUCGUGUCGUGAGAUGUUGGGUUAAGUCCCGCAACGAGCGCAACCCUUAUUACUAGUUGCCAGCAUUCAGUUGGGCACUCUAGUGAGACUGCCGGUGACAAACCGGAGGAAGGUGGGGACGACGUCAAAUCAUCAUGCCCCCUUAAGACCGGGGCUACCCACGUGGCUACAAUGGAAGGGUACAACGAGUUCCGGAAACGCCAGGGUUUAGCUAAUCCCUUAAAAACCUUUUNCCAUUUUUNGNCGUGGGGGGGGCACNUCCGCUAAC